rnacentral:rRNA from 1 species
CACAAUCAGUACAUCCAUAUAAAAAAUAGUUCUAGCAUAUAUCAGCAGCACCACAUACAUCAGCAGCACCACAUACAUCAUACAGCACCAGCAGUUCAUAACAUUAUCCAUCAGCGGCACCACAUAACAAAUCUGGAUUAAAAAUCAAACAAGCCGCUCACCUUGCCGGCCUUGCUCAUGGCCACGGACUAAGGAGGGGAGGGAAACGAACGGGGUUCCAUCUUGUCGGACUGGGUCGCGGCCGGAGUGGGGCACCGACCACCGGAGUAGGGCACCGACGGGACCGACACGAGCUGCUCCUGGCCACUUGGGAAGGUAGGGGUCAUGCCCGAGGUUGGAGAAGUGACGGAAGAUGGGCUCCUACCCUCCGGUCAUGUCACCGGAGCUAGCCGAGGCGCUGAGCAUACGCGUCAGGGACUGGUGGCGGCGGCUGGAACGGGAACCCUAGCCUGUGUGGGAGCGAGUCGGUUUGACCACUUGUGUUUGAGUUCGUUGAGCGGCUUGAUUUGGGAGAGAGGGCGAAGGAGGAUACCAAACACGGGCGGACACCUCUUGUCUCACUGUGCAGUGGGUCCAC